rfam:Asian citrus Psyllid, Diaphorina citri - Florida Strain, whole genome shotgun sequence.
GCCAGUGGUGAUGGCACGUUGAAUGUCCCAGUUCCCAAUGAAUCACUGAAGUUAGGUAACGUUGCGCGUGGUUGGUAUUCGGACGAGUGACCAUUUGGGCAAUUGCGUGCUGCUCGCU